rnacentral:rRNA from 1 species
ACGCUCGACACCUAUGGGAGGCAGCAGUAGGGAAUCUUCCACAAUGGGCGCAAGCCUGAUGGAGCAACACCGCGUGAGUGAAGAAGGGUUUCGGCUCGUAAAGCUCUGUUGUUGGAGAAGAACGUGCGUGAGAGUAACUGUUCACGCAGUGACGGUAUCCAACCAGAAGUCACGGCUAACUACGUGCCGCAGCAGACGGUAAUCUGAGGCGGCUGGCGAGGC